GUGAAUGUAGUUCAGCUGGUUAGAAUAUCCGGAUGUGACCCGGAUGGUCAGGGGUUCGAGCCCCCUCAUUCACACCA
rnacentral:tRNA from 1 species